UGCAGUCGAACGAGAUUUAGCAAAGCUUGCUUUGCGAGAUCUAGUGGCGAACGGGUGAGUAACACGUGAGCAACCUGCCCAGAAGCAGGGGAUAGCCCACCGAAAGGUGGAUUAAUACCGUAUGUGAUCCCAAGAGGCAUCUCUUGGUGAUUAAAGCCGGGGAUCUUCGGACCUGGCACUUCUGGAUGGGCUCGCGUCCUAUCAGCUUGUUGGUGAGGUAACGGCUCACCAAGGCGACGACGGGUAGCUGGUCUGAGAGGAUGAUCAGUCACACUGGAACUGAGACACGGUCCAGACACUUACGGGUGGCAGCAGUCGAGAAUCAUUCACAAUGGGCGCAAGCCUGAUGGUGCGACGCCGCGUGGAGGAUGACAGCUCUAGGGUUGUAAACUCCUGUCAUGAGAGAGUAAAAACCUGCCGUUAAUAGCGGUCGGGUCUUGAUAGUAUCUCAAGAGGAAGGGACGGCUAACUUCGUGCCAGCAGCCGCGGUAAUACGAAGGUCCCAAGCGUUGUUCGGAAUUACUGGGCGUAAAGCGUGCGUAGGCGGCAUGGUAAGUCAGAUGUGAAAGCCCGGGGCUCAACCCCGGAACUGCAUCCGAUACUGCCAAGCUAGAGUAGUGGAGGGGAGUCUGGAAUUCACGGUGUAGCAGUGAAAUGCGUGGAGAUCGUGAGGAACACUAGUGGCGAAGGCGAGACUCUGGACACUAACUGACGCUGAGGCACGAAGGCUAGGGUAGCGAAAGGGAUUAGAUACCCCUGUAGUCCUAGCAGUAAACGGUGCGCGUUUGGUGUGGGCAGGUUCGACCCUGUCCGUGCCGGAGCUAACGCGUUAAACGCGCCGCC
rnacentral:rRNA from 1 species